rnacentral:rRNA from 1 species
GACGAACGCUGGCGGCGUGCCUAAUACAUGCAAGUCGAGCGAAUCAAUGGGAGCUUGCUCCCUGAGAUUAGCGGCGGACGGGUGAGUAACACGUGGGUAACCUGCCUGUAAGACUGGGACAACUUCGGGAAACCGGUGCUAAUACCGGAUACGUUCUUUUCUCGCAUGAGAAGAGAUGGAAAGAUGGUUCUGCUAUCACUUACAGAUGGACCCGCGGCGCAUUAGCUAGUUGGUGUGGUAACGGCUCACCAAGGCGACGAUGCGUAUCCGACCGGAGAGGGGGAUCGGCCACACUGGGACUGAAACACGGCCCAGACUCCUACGGGAGGCAGCAGUAGGGAAUCUUCCGCAAUGGACGAAAGUCGGACGAAGCAACGCCGCGUGAGCGAAGAAGGCCUUCGGGUCGUAAAGCUCUGUUGUUAGGGAAGAACAAGUACGAGAGUAACUGCUCGUACCUUGACGGUACCUAACCAGAAAGCCACGGCUAACUACGUGCCAGCCGCCGCAGUAA